UCUGGCUCUCUCGUUCCUCUCUCUCCGUCUCCCUCGCGCUUCGCUGGCUCGAAGAACAACUGCUCCCCAUCCAAGAACAGUGCUCAUCCAAAUCCAGUGCACCCAGAGCGGCUCCCCGGAGGAGCACAUCAUGGUCAGCUCAUGCAGUGCGCGGCUAGCUCCAGGAUCCUUGCUCUAUCGUGUCCCAAGAUGCUGACGACGCCAUCGCAGCCGUCGGCUACUACGCUCCCGCUGCCGAUCCGGAUGGCGCGAGCCGAGCUCGACGGUGAGGCCAGGGCAGCGAGCUCAUCGGCGGCGGGUUUUCCCAGGGUCCCGCGCAGCCCUUCUACGACUCUACCUGAAUGGUAGGGGCAGACGGCGAAUCCGUACCAAUUUGGUCGCCGGGAAGGAGAUUUGGUCUCCUCCGGUGCGCCGCGAGAGCAGCCGGACUGCUCGCAGUAGGAGUCGCGGCCGAGUCCAAGCCAUCAGCGAGGGGUACCGGACUUGGAUCAGCCGCGCGGGAGCACCUAUUCUUCAUCCAGUGGAGAGUGAGGGAGAAGGAGAGAGACAGAGCUGAACGGGACAGAGAGAGCUGCACAAGAGAGCCAGACCUGGGAUCGAUUCAAAGGAAUAAUCUUCCAUAUCCUGUAUAUCUCAAUCCAUUACCGAUAGCACUUUUUUAAAUUUUAGCAGUGAGUGCUAUAGCAGAUUGGUGCAGGAAGGAAUCCCCUGCAUUUGAGCAAGAGAGGUGUAUUUUAGCGACCAUAAAACCUUUUUAGUAUUGGCGAUGGAAUUGGUAAUCUGUCGGAGCACCUCUUAUUACCAAAACAACCUAUUACCAACCUAUUACCAAAAGAACAGUUUUUGAUAUUGAAAAGAGAAAUGAGUAAUCUGCUGGACAUGCUCUAAGGUCAGAGGUAGAAUUGUCCUUUCACGUGGCAUGGAGAAAGAAAAACAGAAA
rnacentral:lncRNA from 1 species